rnacentral:rRNA from 1 species
GGGCCAUUGGGGGGUGCUUUAUUACAUGCAGUAGAACGCUGAAGAGAGGAGCUUGCUCUUCUUGGAUGAGUUGCGAACGGGUGAGUAACGCGUAGGUAACCUGCCUUGUAGCGGGGGAUAACUAUUGGAAACGAUAGCUAAUACCGCAUAACAAUGGAUGACACAUGUCAUUUAUUUGAAAGGGGCAAUUGCUCCACUACAAGAUGGACCUGCGUUGUAUUAGCUAGUAGGUGAGGUAACGGCUCACCUAGGCGACGAUACAUAGCCGACCUGAGAGGGUGAUCGGCCACACUGGGACUGAGACACGGCCCAGACUCCUACGGGAGGCAGCAGUAGGGAAUCUUCGGCAAUGGGGGCAACCCUGAACCCGGAGGCAAACGCCGCGGUGAGGUGGAAGAAGGGUUUUCGGAUCGUAAAGCUCUGUUGUAAGUCAAGAACGAGGUGUGGAGAGUGGAAAGUUCACACUGUGACGGUAGCUUACCAGAAAGGGACGGCUAACUACGUGCCAGCAGCCCGCGGUAAUACGUAGGUCCCGAGCGUUGUCCCGGAUUUAUUGGGCGUAAAGCGAGCGCAGGCGGUUUGAUAAGUCUGAAGUUAAAGGCUGUGGCUCAACCAUAGUUCGCUUUGGAAACUGUCAAACUUGAGUGCAGAAGGGGAGAGUGGAAUUCCAUGUGUAGCGGUGAAAUGCGUAGAUAUAUGGAGGAACACCGGUGGCGAAAGCGGCUCUCUGGUCUGUAACUGACGCUGAGGCUCGAAAGCGUGGGGAGCGAACAGGAUUAGAUACCCUGGUAGUCCACGCCGUAAACGAUGAGUGCUAGGUGUUGGAUCCUUUCCGGGAUUCAGUGCCGCAGCUAACGCAUUAAGCACUCCGCCUGGGGGAGUACGACCGCAAGGUUGAAACUCAAAGGAAUUGACGGGGGCCCGCACAAGCGGUGGAGCAUGUGGUUUAAUUCGAAGCAACGCGAAGAACCCUUACCAGGUCUUGACAUCCCGAUGCUAUUUCUAGAGAUAGAAAGUUACUUCGGUACAUCGGUGACAGGUGGUGCAUGGUUGUCGUCAGCUCGUGUCGUGAGAUGUGGGGUUAAGUCCCGCAACGAGCGCAACCCCUAUUGGUUAGUUGCCAUCAUUCAGUUGGGCACUCUAGCGAGACUGCCGGUAAUAAACCGGAGGAAGGUGGGGAUGACGUCAAAUCAUCAUGCCCCUUAUGACCUGGGCUACACACGUGCUACAAUGGUUGGUACAACGAGUUGCGAGUCGGUGACGGCAAGCUAAUCUCUUAAAGCCAAUCUCAGUUCGGAUUGUAGGCUGCAACUCGCCUACAUGAAGUCGGAAUCGCUAGUAAUCGCGGAUCAGCACGCCGCGGUGAAUACGUUCCCGGGCCUUGUACACACCGCCCGUCACACCACGAGAGUUUGUAACACCCGAAGUCGGUGAGGUAACCUUUUGGAGCCAGCCGCCUAAGUUGGAUUUAGUA